rnacentral:rRNA from 1 species
GACGAACGCUGGCGGCGUGCCUAAUACAUGCAAGUCGAGCGGAAGUUGGAGAGCUUGCUCUUCAACUUUAGCGGCGGACGGGUGAGUAACACGUGGGCAACCUGCCCUGCAGAUCGGGAUAACUCCGGGAAACCGGUGCUAAUACCGAAUAGUUUUCGCCACCUCCUGGUGGCGUACGGAAAGACGGUUUCGGCUGUCACUGCAGGAUGGGCCCGCGGCGCAUUAGCUAGUUGGUGGGGUAACGGCCCACCAAGGCAACGAUGCGUAGCCGACCGGAGAGGGUGAUCGGCCACCCUGGGACUGAGACACGGCACAGACUCCUACGGGAGGCAGCAGUAGGGAAUCUUCCGCAAUGGACGAAAGUCUGACGGAGCAACGCCGCGUGAGUGACGAAGGUUUUCGGAUCGUAAAACUCUGUUGUGAGGGAAGAACAAGUACCAACUAACUACUGGUACCUUGACGGUACCUCACCAGAAAGCCACGGCUAACUACGUGCCAGCCGCCGCAGUAA